AAAAGCCCAACCGUUUUUAGACAUCUUGCUGUUAGGAUCCGUUAGAAAUAUAUAGUUAACUAUGAGUAAAAUAUUUAACCCAAGAUUUUAAGUGCCCGUCGGCACGGGUCGUAUCUACCGUAUCAUACCGUGUCAACAAGAUAUCCGCCGAUGGCACAGUUAAAAAUCCUCUAUUCUUUAAAUUUGUAAGUAAUUUUUUCAAUAAAGUCCAAAAGAUGUGAUAAAUAAACAUAAUAAAUAGUUAGAAUAUUUUGUUGCUAAAGAAAGUAAAUAUUCCAUACUAUUAUGUGUCACACAAGAAUUUUUUUGUUGGGCACGGCUACCGUGCCGGCAAGUUUCCGGCACGACCCCGUGCCACGGCAUUUAAAUCCUUGAUUUAACCCCGAUUAGUAAAUGAGUUAAAUUGAUCUUUUUAUCCUUGUUAUAUUAUUUGAUAAAAAAAAAUUUUGAGAGGAUAUUUCUACAAAAUUCUACCAGUUGGUGCUAUUAGAGGGAUACAUUUGUAAGGCAAAAAUGUCAUUUCGUAUAUCUGCUGUUAAAAGAUAAACAGUGCUCUAAGGUAUUAAACUAGAGGGGCAAAUAUAAAUAUCAUUGGACUUUUACAAGGAUAAAAAUAAAAAAUUGAAUGCUGCAGGAAUAUAUUUAUUAGUCAAUAUGUUUACAGUGAGCUGUGUGUAAUUAACCCUAAAAUUAAUG
rnacentral:lncRNA from 1 species